GGCAACCUCACCGAAUCGAAGAAAAAAGGCUCCAUUCUUCUAUAAGGAGGUGAGACUAGAGCUGAAGUGCCCUCGCCCUUUGAGAGGAUUGAGCGGAGAACAUUAAGUAAGUGUUAAGUCGGGUCCUGGGAGGGGCUCUAUGAUUGUAUACCUCACCCAUUGAACAAUAAGAAAAUGACCUACUUCCCUUAUUCCCUUAGGAGGGAUUUCCUUGUAAGACUUUUCCUUUUAGAGGGAUUUCCUUACUCGACUUCCCUUACCUUUACUGCUCCAAAGAUUGGUGUUCUUUUCAAGCACUCCCUCGUUCCCCUUAGGGCUAUUCCUUAAUAUGAAAAAAAGUCCUAUUUACCUUAUCGUGCAAUCAGAGGAGUUAUCAAACGGAGAAGCCUUACACCGGUCGUGCUGUGGAAAGCACUCCCUUAUCCAAACACUUAGUUUAUGGAGCGUUUCCCCCCUUCGGCCUGUGGCCUCGUCCCCCUCGGGGGGAGUGUUUAUAUGGACGUUUCCCCCCAACCCCCUCGGGGGGAGUUGCAGGUGUUAAAAUCAAGUUAUCCUUUCGUUCGGCUUGGAAAGCCUCACUUCACUUCUUUUUGAGGGUGAUUUCUCUAUCAAAAAUCUUUGAUAAAGCUUCGUUUUGAUCGAUGAAUAGAAUCCCUCUCUAUUUGGUUAAAAAAGUCGAUUAUCUCACGUUUUUGUGUAUGACUUUUAACAUAUCAUGAUGAACAGAACACUAAGUGUGCCAAUGAGUAGCUUUGUAACGCUAAACCUCCGAAUCAGGAACUGUUACAACCUCCAAGUGGUUUAUUUGAUGUAUCCCAAACUAUAGGUAGUUAAACACUAGAACCUACCCUUGAACUUCCUGGUUGCCAGGAUUUGUAAAGUUUAGGUGUCCUCAAACUUCCAAAAGCGGGUUGUUAACAAGCAGCAUAAACUGAUGUCGUGUUUAGGUGUUAAAAGGUUAUGAAAUCUCCUUUGAUAACGGAACGGAGGGCCCUAAACGGGCGACGUCUCCCUUAGGAGUUGAGUAAGAAAUCUUGAACCAAACGCGCCCUUGUCCAGUAACCAUUCCGAGUGGGGCCCAGUUACAAAGCAAAAGUUAGG
rnacentral:lncRNA from 1 species